UGGAAUGUUGUUAAAAGUUUACGUUCCCAGUAGAAUAUUAGCUCAUGUUACUGUUGAAUUCAUAGCACAAGAGCAAUAACAAAAAAUGUAAGGGUGGGGAAAAAGAUUUGCUAAAACCAGAUGAUUACAUGUUAAAUUAGGGAACUAGCAGUUGCAGAAACGAUGGUCAUUGAGGUGCUAAAUGGGAGGGUGGGGAGUGGGAAGAGUGCUGAAAGGAGGAGACGAGAGAGAGAGACCGGACCACGCGAGCUCAGUACUACGGGGACCAUCGGCGUUAGCAGAGGUGGAAGUCUCUCUUCGUAGGAUGUAGAGGCGGCUUUUCGCACUCUAGAGGGCAGAAGGAGUAAUGAUGGCUGUCGUGACUCACGGUAUGCUGACAAUUUGAGUGAAAGGCACCGCAAUUUACGCUGGGUGGUUGUGCCUCGGUCGCCGCAGAUACCAUGCGGAAUGAAUCUCCGUGACUCGGGAAGUGUCGAUUCGCCAGCCUAAACAAAGCACUGGAGAGGCCUAACUAGAUGACCAUUAGUGAUUGUUCCCGAGAUGGUUUACAUUGGGUUCACCCUUCCAUACUUCACCAUUUGUGUUGCUGCUAAAGCUGCUGUCACCAUUGUCACUGCCACCCCUGUUGCUGCCGUUGGCGACAGGAAGAACGCUACACCAGUUUACCAGAUCCUCGGGAGUUGGCGGCGCUCCAUUCCUAGGCGUGGAUGACGCUGCUUUCUAAACUAAUAUAGUGACUUGUGGGCUGGCUGUUGCUGCGGUGAGGGGGACCUGGAAUGUUCUUUAAAGUUUACGUUCCCAGUAGAAUAUUAGCUCAUGUUACUGUUGAAUUCAUAGCACAAGAACAAUAACAAAAAAUGUAAGGGUGGGGAAAAAGAUUUGCUAAAACCAGAUGAUAACAUGUUAAAUUAGGGAAGUAGCAGUUGCAGAAACGAUGGUCAUUGAGGUGCUAAAUGGGAGGGUGGGGAGUGGGAAGAGUGCUAAAAGGAGGAGACGAGACAGACACCGGACCACGCGAGCUCAGUACUAUGGGAACCAUCGGCGUUAGCAGAGGUGGAAGUCUCUCCGUAGAUUGCUUCAUUGUCCUUCAGGAUGUAGAGGCGGCUUUUCGCACUCUAGAGGGCAGAAGGAGUAAUGAUGGCUGUCGUGACUCGCGGUAUGCUGACAAUGAAUCUCCGUGACUGGAAGUGUCGAUUCGCCAGCCUAAACCAAGCACUGGAGAGGCCUAACUAGAUGACCAUUAGUGACUGUUCCCGAGAUGGUUUACAUUGGGUUCACCCUUCCAUGCUUCACCAUUUGUGUUGCUGCUAAAGCUGCUGUCACCAUUGUCACCGCCACCCCUGUUGCUGCCGUUGGCGACAGGAAGAACGCUACACCAGUUUACCAGAUCCUCGGCAGUUAGCGGCGCUCCAUUCCUAGGCGUGGAUGACGCUGCUUUCUGAACUAAUAUAGUGAGACUUGUGGGCUGGCUGUUGCCGGGUAACAAGCUAUUUGUUCGAAAGAGUUCGAGAGACUCUUGACUUUUUUUUUUUUUUUAAAUAAAUUUUUAACUGGAA